GGGGAAUAUUGGACAAUGGGCGCAAGCCUGAUCCAGCCAUACCGCGUGGGUGAAGAAGGCCUUCGGGUUGUAAAGCUUUUUUUUUUGGUUAUUAUUCUAGCUGUCUAAUACUUGUUUGGGAUGACGUUACCCAAAGAAUAAGCACCGGCUAACUUCGUUCCAGCAGCCGCGGUAAUACGAAGGGUGCAAGCGUUACUCGGAAUUACUGGGCGUAAAGCGUGCGUAGGUGGUCGUUUAAGUCCGUUGUGAAAGCCCUGGGCUCAACCUGGGAACUGCAGUGGAUACUGGGCGACUAGAGUGUGGUAGAGGGUAGCGGAAUUCCUGGUGUAGCAGUGAAAUGCGUAGAGAUCAGGAGGAACAUCCAUGGCGAAGGCAGCUACCUGGACCAACACUGACACUGAGGCACGAAAGCGUGGGGAGCAAACA
rnacentral:rRNA from 1 species